ACCCAGAGACGAGUCCCAAAUAGGACGAAAUGCGCAUCCUGGAU
rnacentral:hammerhead_ribozyme from 1 species